CGUCACGGCGUGCCUUCACUGCAGGGUGCAAACACUCAGGGAUUGGCUGGGAACCGAGGGCAGAAGUGGCGUGCAGGGCUUGCCGGCACUGGGGGCGGAAGCGGCCGAGCCGGCCGGGAUCGGCUCGGGACCUGACGGGCCGGGCCGGGAUGCCGAGGCGGCAGAAGCAGCUCCCCGCCGCUAGGACCCCUGCGGGGUUUGUUGCCGAGCGAAGGUGGCGCACCAGCUACACCGAGGAAAGUUGCAGCUGGCGUGCUGCAGCCGCGGGUUUCCCAGGAGAAAGAGCAGCCCGACUGUCCCAGCUGUCCAGAAGACUUACUUCAGCGUCGAAUAAACCCCGUGCGAAGCGACCCCGACUCAUGCCAGUGGGACCAUCGCGUUGUGGCUGGUAAAAUCCAGGAACAGGACAAUGCUUGGAAGAAUGUAACCUAUGGAGGAGCAGGCAACAGUCUCCUGUUAGGCAACAGGCUCGUGUGCGUCUGUUUGGCUUGUCCCGAUGGCUGGUGUAGAUGACUGCUCACGUGCCCCAAAGCUCCUUGUGCUGAUGUUGGAUCUGCCCCUCGGCAAAGGACCGCAUCCCGUGUGUUCAGCUUUUCUUCCUUACCAUGUCGUAUGAGAAAAGCUCUUUCCAGAGAGAUGGAGAAGGAAUUAAUUAUACCUCUGCCUCAUCCUGUGAGACCAGAAGACAAUGACUCACUAACUGUAAGCUGCGAUUCUCAGGAGUCGCAUGGCUAAGAGUCUCAGGUUCCUUCUCUGCCUGCCCCCCAGGGCCUUAGGCAUGAGAAAUCUUAGGCUUAAUGUUUUUGCCUAUGAAAUACUGUCGCGUUAAGGGGCAUAGCUGACUACCUGUUACGGUUCUGGUCGGAUUCAGGGUACUGAACUGUCACGGUCACGGAUUCACCUAAAUAACGUAGCACACCCUCGCUCUAGUCGCGUUCAAUGACAACUGUCACAGCUAGGAACAAUGCACUGAACAGCAAUUUAUUACAGCAACAAGGACACAGGUUCUUUGGAUCGCCGGCGGUAAAUUCACUGUCCGCGAAAGCAAGCGAGCAUGCAUGCUCAGCGCUCAGUGGUCGCACCUUGGAGGCACGGAGCUUUUGGGAUGGAGGUGUGUUUUGAUCUUAUGAUGAUACUAGAAUGAGCAAAAGUUCCCUAGAGUACAGUGUUUUGUUAAAAACAUGACAGGUCGUUGGCUCAGGGUAGCAAACGUGCAGCUUAUCGGUCUCAGUGUGCACAAGAGCAUCGCGUCCCCAUCUGGUCGCAGAGCCUAUCCGUGGUGUUUCCACUCCGCCUUACGCUCCGUCCCGUUCCUUAGAGUCAGCACACUGAGUUCCCCUAGUGCGAUAGCAUGUAAAGUUGGAGGCCUAGGGAACGCUUAGGUAGCGCAGCUGCCCUCCACCCUGAAAGCUUCUUCAGUGCUGUACGCUUUCUUUAAAAGGUAAAUAUGAGUUUAAUUGGCCUAGUUACUUCAGGCAAUUACUCUGCAACUACCCAAAGCAGCGAUAGUGAGAAGCCCACUUCCAGCAUCCGCUCCCCACGCAGGGAUGGACGGGUGGACAGACGGAUGCCGCUCUUUGCCUUGCCCGCCAGGGGAAGGGGAGAAUGACCGGGCAGGGAGCCCCACCGCAGCCCCCCUCCCGGGAGUCCUGCACAGCAGUUUAAUAAAGUUUGCUUUCCGGCCCGUGCCCCCUUUGGUGGUUGCCGCCGCGCUUGCCGUCGCUCAGCUUCCCAGCCGUGAGCGGCACGUUGCCCAAGGCAGAUCCUGAGGCCUCCCUGAGGCGGCGUGGGGUGCAAAUUCCUGCUGUUUUCGUUUGUGCUUCUUCUGGGAAAAUGGUCUGGGAAGCUGUGCCUGCUGACCUCGGGACGCCCCCUGCCGGGGAAAGAACCCGUGGGUUGUUGGCUCAAGCCCCACCUUUGGAAUUCCCCAUUCUCCACCAUCAACCAGGAAAUUGGGUCCUGAUUCGGAUCUGGAAAGAAUCAAAACUCCGGCCUGAAUGGGAAGGACUAUUCCAAGUACUACUAACCACUGAAACAGCCGUAAGAACUGCAGAAAAAGUCUGAACUCACUAUACUCGAGUGAAGGCAUCCGUCGACCCUAGUAACUGGGAAGCUGUUCCUACAGAAGACUUGUUGGAAGUUGAAAUCGAGGAGAAAAAUCUUGUAGUGGACUCUGAGCAGGAUAAAAGCUUACAAUUGUAAACUAACCUUUUAUUUUCACAGGUAACUAAUGAGUGUGACUUGUGAUUGAGAGAAGGGACUGGCCUAUGGCAAAUCGAAGUGCUCCCAAGGGGUUUUUGUUCUAGUAGUAGUGUACAUAUAUCUUACUCUUUGUAUUGGUAAUUAUUUGGAAACCUAAGGGUUAAAAAUAAUGACAGGGAAAAAUCAACUAUUAAUUUUGUUUCUAGUGAUUGUGGGCCUCAGAGAAGGCCUUGGUCAAUUGGCAACUUGGAAAAGCCAUGACCAGAUAAUAGUAAGACGGGAUACCCCGUCAAAAUAGGGGGUGAAUGUGACAGAGGAUUAUGUACCACAGUCUGUCAUGUCUGAUGCUUGUGAGGUGUUAGCUUGUGGAGAUUUAAAUGCCCAAUGACAAUUGAGCAGAGAGAACAAAUAACUGGGAGAGACCCAACAGCCAGAUUGAGAAUAGCUGUAUGGAAACGAUCUUCUAUUUCCAUCAGAGAAAGGGAGAAACUCAAGGAGAAAACAGGAGAGAAGACAGGAGGCCCUCGUUGAAAUGCGGCAGUUCAAACAUUUGAGAUUGAAACAGGGUAUGGGGAUGUGAAUGCCUGGAUAGAAUGGGUCAAAUAUACUGUCCAGAAUCUCAACCAUAGCAAUUGCUAUGCUUGUGCCUCGGGACAACUGAUUGCCCAGAUAGUGCCCUUCCCAUUGGGGUGGACCAGGGAUUCCCAGGGGAUGCGAUGUAUGAUUGCAUUGUACCAAGAAAAGACUGCCAGGGGAAAUGAGGCCUGUAAGUCUCUCUCUUUGCUGUUCCCUUCCUUGCGUGAUAGCAGUAUCAGGGUUCCCCCUGCAUUCUCUACAGCUAUAGGUAACCAUACAGCUUGCCUCUCACGGCAGGGUAUGAGUGCUACCCGGCAUCUGGGAGAAUUUGCCUUGUGCAUGAGGACCUUGAAUGCUACCAAGGACUUGAUGGGAAACUGCUCAAGACUUGAGAUCCCCAGGGCAGAUCUGUGGUGGUACUGUGGAGGGAAGAUCUUACGGUCCACCCUACCAUCUAAUUGGGGAGGCACUUGUGCACUUGUUCAAUUAGCUAUACCCUUCACCCUGGCAUUUGAAAGAGAAACAUCACAAAUACCCAGAAGAAGUAAAAGAGGCUUAGGAAUAUCAUUUGAUGAUAGAGUAUAUAUAGAUUCUAUUGGGGUGCCUAGAGCAGUUUCCGAUGAACAGAAAACCAGGAAUCAAGUUGCUGCAGGGUUUGAGUCACUGUUCUGGUGGGUAACAACCAAUAAGAGUAUUUAUUAUAGUCAGCAGAUAUUCAUAAAUUAUACAAGGGAUGCGAUAAGAGAAAUCGCUGAACAACUAGAUGACACCAGCAAAAUGGCUUAGGAAAACAGAAUAGCAUUAGAUAUGAUGAUCGCGGAGAAAGGAGGUGUGUGUGUGUGUGUGUGUGUGUGAUACUGAGCAACCAUUGUUGCACUUUUAUACCCAACAAUGCUGCCCCAGAUGGCACAGUAACUAGAGCAUUGCAAGGGCUUACCGCCCUUGCCAGUGAGUCGGCAGAAUAAUUAGGAACAGGCACGUCCAUCACAGGAUGUUUGGAAUCUUGGUUUGGUAAAUGGAAAGGGAUCAUAGUGUCCAUAUUUGCAUCCUUGAUCGUAGUAGCAGGAGUUUUGACGGCCAUUGGUUGUUGCAUUAUCCCCUGUGUAAAAGGACUAGUACAAUGGUUAAUUGAAACUGCACUAUUGAAACAAAUGACCAUGGAGCCACCACCUUACUCAGAUACGGUGAUGAUAUUAGAGGAGAUGGAAAGCAAAGAGGGUGAAGAAGAGGAAGAUACCUACCAAAUUACACCUUAGAAGAAAGUUUUGCAAAAAUCAACAAUUUAUAAAGAAGAAAAGGGGGGAACUGUGGGAAUAAAAAUGUUGUUUUUGCAGAGUUACAUUGUUUAGAGGGAAGGAAUGUGGCAUUGAGAUAGGCUUGCAGUGAUAAGAAAGUGUAACAGACAACCUUGUAAAAUGCAGACAACCGGACUCCUUAGAGCAGUUAGGUGAAAAUCACAGUGUCAAGUCAGAUAAGUGAAGAAACAUUACCACUUCAAACAGUAAAAAAGUCAAAAGAAAUUUGAAAUUUAACAGGCCGGCAACUGAAGGUCAUGAAUUGUCUGUGAAGCGUCAGAUAGGUUGUGAACCUGGAAUACGCAGUCAGUUGGGAAACAGAGGAGGGUCCCGGUCAUCAAGAAAGAAAGUAUAUAAAAAAUGUACUAUGUGACUAGUAGGUGCGCUCCUGCUUGUGGGAUGCGUGCCAUUGCGAUCGCGAAUAAAUUACUACUUCACUGAGAUCCUUGCCUGAGCCUAAGUUACUAGCUAUGGAGUGUUUCUCACACUCCCUGCACAUAAUCCUGGCUACAAUAUACCAUGUUAUCGAAGGUGCCUUUUAAACAACAUUGAUAGAAACUCAAGGGGCGAUAGUACUGACCCUGGGUGUGGAACUACCCUAACAGGGAAUAAUCCAUACUGUACCAAAUAUGGUAGCCGCAGGAAUGCUAAUAUACAUAGCGCACACCAGAUGCAACAUGAGAAUCCUGUAACUGGAUGGCCUGUCCCAAAUGGCAAGAGGUGGUACUGGCUACGUGGCAAUAAAGCCAGGAAGGUGUUGCCCCUGGGAUGGAAGGGAGCUUGCACCCUGGAGGCAAUAAUUCCAAAUAUAACUAUUAUUGAAGACCCACAAAGCCAAAGCCCCCUUGAGACCACACGCAGGAUUAAGCAGACGCCAGAAAAUUCUCUAGUAAAAUUCUCUAGUAUUUCACAGCUUUGCAAGGUGGUUUUUACCUUGGUUAGGGGUGGGUGAAUUAGAAAAAGCUAUUGUAAAUAUCUCUGCUAUAACUGAAGAACUAGAAAAUAAGUUUGAUAAGUUUGCAAAAAUAGUACUGUAGAAUCGAAUAGUAUUAGAUUCAUUAAUAACCUCGUAAGGAGGAGCGUGCACUGUAAUUAAUGCUAGUUGCUGUAUAUAUGUAGAUCAAAUGGGACGAAUUUGACUGAUUUUGGGGGGAAAAAAAAGUAUAUUGGGAGGGUGUGGGGGGGAAAAGAUCCUACAUAGAGUAGCUCAAGAUGACAGUUCCUGGGCAUUUAGAAAAAUUUGGGAGGAACUAACUUUGUGGUUACCUGAACAGAAUUGGCUCAGACAACUAUUUGUUGGUAUUGUAAAACUAAUGGCAUUGUACACCUACCACCCCCCGUGACAUCUGAAGAAGACUAUUGCGCCUUAAUGUUGGAAAAACUCAAGAGUGCGGUAUGUGAAGAGGUGCAAAAACAACAGUAGGAGUAAGGAAAGAAGAGGGGGGAAUUGUGAGAAAACUAAGUUGUGUUUUGCAGUAGAGAACUAAUUUUCUGUAUUCCAAGUAGUUGUGUAGUCAUAAUAAGGAGAAAUGCUAUGUGGAUAAGUGGACAGUAGAAGGCCUCACUGUUCCAAAAUAAGGCAGAAGCUUGAGGAAAAACAGGUUGAGCAGUGUGGGAACAGUAAAACAAAGAUCACAGGUUCCUGAAACAUAAGAAAAGGAAAAAAAAAGAAAAUAAGACGGGAGAAAAUUAAAGGGUUGAAAAAAAAACUAAAAUUGUACAUAUAUGGUAUAGAGGAGCGUCGAGUAGUUUGUGAACCUGUAGUACUCGGCCAAUGAGGAACCAGGGGAGGUGAUCAGGUGUCAGGGAAUAGAGAAUAAAAGUUGAUGCUUUGUUUACUGGAAUGCACUCCUAAGUGGCAGGACGCCUGCCACUGCAACCGCGAAUAAAAUAGCUUCAC